rnacentral:misc_RNA from 1 species
AUGAAGAACGCAGCGAAAUGCGAUAAGUAAUGUGAAUUGCAGAAUUCAGUGAAUCAUCGAAUCUUUGAACGCAUCUUGCGCUCCUUGGUAUUCUGAGGAGCAUGCCUGUUUGAGUGUCAUUAAAUUCUCAACUACACUGACUUUGAAUUGGUGUGGCUUGGAUUUGGGGGGAAAAUUGUUGUGGGCUUUUUGUAUAGUCUGCUCCCCUGAAAUUGAUUAGCGGUACCUUUGUGGAACUGUCUACAGGUGUGAUAAUUAUCUACAUCUUAGACAUCUGCUGGAAUGCUGCUUUCUAAACCUUACUUGUAUUGACAAUCUUGACCUCAAAUCAGGUAGGACUACCCGCUGAACUUAAGCAUAUCAAUAAGCGGAGGA